rnacentral:rRNA from 1 species
CGAAAGGAACAUUAAUACCGCAUAACACCUUCGGUGGGCAUCCAUCGAGGGUCAGACUUCCGGGGCGGGAGGAGCAAUCUGCGUUCUAUCAGGUAGUUGGUGAGGUAACGGCUCACCAAGCCUACGACGGAUAACUGGUCUGAGAGGAUGAUCAGUCACACUGGAACUGAGACACGGUCCAGACUCCUACGGGAGGCAGCAGUGAGGAAUAUUGCGCAAUGGGCGAAAGCCUGACGCAGCGACGCCGCGUGGAGGAUGAAGGCCUUCGGGUUGUAAACUCCUGUCAGUGGGGAAGAGAAUGGACGGUACCCACUGAGGAAGCUUCGGCUAACUACGUGCCAGCAGCCGCGGUAAGACGUAGGGAGCAAGCGUUGUCCGGAAUUACUGGGCGUAAAGAGCUCGUAGGCGGGAUCGUAAGUCUUAGAGUAAAUCUCACGGCUCAACCGUGUGGCCUUCUGAGGUACUGCUAUUCUUGAGG